AGCCUGAACGCUGGCGGCGUGGCUAAGACAUGCAAGUCGAACGGGUGUAGCAAUACACCAGUGGCGGACGGGUGAGUAAUAAAUCGCUAAUGUACCCCGGAGCCAGGGAUAGCCUUCCGAAAGGGAGGGUAAAUACCUGAUGAGACCACGAACAGGCAUCUGUUUGUGCUCAAAGCCGUAAGGCACUCUGGGAGCAGGCGAUUACGUAUCAGCUUGUUGGUGAGGUAACGGCUCACCAAGGCGACGACGCGUAGCUGGUCUGAGAGGACGGCCAGCCACAUUGGGACUGAGACACUGCCCAGACUCCUACGGGGGGCUGCAGUAACGAAUCUUCCGCAAUGCACGAAAGUGUGACGGAGCGACGCCGCGUGUAGGACGAAGUCCUUCGGGAUGUAAACUACUGUCGAGGGUAAGAAAGUUCUGAUCUACCCAGAGGAAGAGACGGCUAACUCUGUGCCAGCAGCCGCGGU
rnacentral:rRNA from 1 species